rnacentral:rRNA from 1 species
CACGGGGGGAGCGAGCGUUGUUCGGAAUUACUGGGCGUAAAGGGCGUGUAGGCGGCACGGUGAGUGAGAUGUGAAAGCCCCCGGCUUACCCGGGGAAUGGCAUCUCAUACUGCUGUGCUUGAGUGCGGGAGAGGAUGGGGGAAUUCCUGGUGUAGCGGUGAAAUGCGUAGAUAUCAGGAGGAACACCGGUGGCGAAGGCGCCCAUCUGGCCCGUUACUGACGCUGAGGCGCGAAAGCUAGGGGAGCGAACGGG